rnacentral:snoRNA from 1 species
AUUGCACAACUUAAGUUUGUCGAGGAUCAUUUUUUUUUGAACUGAAUCAUGCUCUUUUUAAGUGCUUUGAAACCCUCGAUGAAUGUGUCAAUGUGCAAAGAUAAACCAUUGUUCUCUGUUGAUCAGUGACUUAAUGUUUGCUUUGGAGAAUGAUAUUUUCCCUUUCCUAUAUUUGACUUUUGUUCUAAAAGUUAUUUGGAGAGAAAAAGCAUGAUUGAGGUUGCGACUUUUUCGUUUUUGCUUUUGCAUGGAUAAUUCAUCCAUGCACAUCUCACUUUAUUGGACCUUCAAGAUUGGUUUCCCAUGUAAUUUAAUUUUCUCUCCUCUACAUUUAAUAUGUUCUAUAUUAAUUAAUACCAAUUGAGUUGUGCGUACUUCAUUGCAGAUAUUUUACCAGACCUGUCUGAGUUUUUCGUUCAAGUUUGGUUGAAAUCGGCUUGAGGUAUAUGAACGUGGUUGGGAUAUGGAGAUUGGGAGAUCAAAGAAGCGAAAAUACCUGAGACAGUUUUUUUAAAAAAGAAGCUAAGGAACAUGACUCAAAGAGACACAUUA